AUUCCUACGGGAGGCAGCAGUGGGGAAUAUUGGACAAUGGGCGAAAGCCUGAUCCAGCGACGCCGCGUGAGUGAAGAAGCAUUUCGGUAUGUAAAGCUCUAUCAGCAGGGAAGAAAAUGACGGUACCUGACUAAGAAGCCCCGGCUAACUACGUGCCAGCAGCCGCGGUAAUACGUAGGUGGCAAGCGUUGUCCGGAAUUACUGGGUGUAAAGGGAGCGCAGGCGGAACUGCAAGUUGGGUGUUUAAUCUACGGGCUCAACCCGUAUCAGCAUUCAAAACUGUGGUUCUUGAGUAAUGCAGAGGUAGGCGGAAUUCCCGGUGUAGCGGUGGAAUGCGUAGAUAUCGGGAGGAACACCAGUGGCGAAGGCGGCCUACUGGGCAUCAACUGACGCUGAGGCUCGAAAGCAUGGGUAGCAAACAGGAUUAGAUACCCUGGUAGUCCAUGCUGUAAACGAUGAUUACUAGGUGUGGGGAGAUUGACCCUCUCCGUGCCGCAGUUAACACAAUAAGUAAUCCACCUGGGGAGUACGACCGCAAGGUUGAAACUCAAAGGAAUUGACGGAAU
rnacentral:rRNA from 1 species